rnacentral:lncRNA from 10 species
UAUUUCCACACUAAUUGCAAUUUCUGGUCGGCUUCAGUUCAGACUCAGCCUUGCGCGCCUGGAAGUCAUUCCUGGCGGGCUUCCUCCACCUUCUUUUUCUUGGCCAGACGUGGCCAGUCAUAAACUGACAGGGAAAAACAGCUCUCCAAAUGAUUUUGGUGUCUUGUCUAGGGUUAUUAUUGAGCUUGGGACAAAUCCCAAACCGGCCUCUGCUGCUGCAGAUGCCGACCUGAACUAGCUCCUCUCCACUUUAACUUCACCUUCAUCCUGGUUUGCUGAUUACAGAUGAAUUCAUUUUUCAUCGGACUCUCCAGGCUGCCCCACAAACGAACACCUACAUGAAGGCCAGAGCCAGGCUGGGUUUGUCAGGCAGUCAGGCCCUGUGGGAACUGGAGGCCUCUCCUCCAGGACUGGACUCACCCUCCCAUCUGAAAGGCCCUUUAUUCUAGGACUUAAUGAGGCAAAAGCAGUUAAGUGCAUGGCUAUGGAACCCACCAGAUGUGAAUGGAGAAUGGGGAAUUUGCAGGGUGGAGAAGAGUUCAAGGGAUGAAAAGAAGGAAUUCUGGACAGACUAAGCAUGGAUGUGGGAAUAACACGCCACGUCACGUCUAUUGACAGACGGGUUUCCCUCAAGCUGCACUCCAUGCUUCUCAUGGCAGAGGCAGGGAGUUUGUGUUUUUAGGACUUUAGCGUGAAACUGAGAAUCAUCUUGUGUUUCGAGCAUAGAGAUAACGAUGAAAGAACACAAAGAAAUGAUAAAUGCUUGAGGUGAUGGAUACCCUGUUUACCCUAAUGUGAUUAUUACACAUUGUGUGCCUGUAUCAAAAUAUCUCAUGUACCCCAUAAAUAGAUACACCUACUACGGACCAUAAAAAUUAAUUUUUAAAAAGAAAUACUGAUGAAAGCACAGAUUUUUUUAAGGAUGGGAAUGGGAGAAGUUUCAGUGUAUGUCAAGGCUCACAAACCUUAUCUGAAAGAGACCGCCGAGGCAUGUGUGUUCCUGUCCUUCCCUACCCCUUCCUAUCCCUGAGCCACACCUCUGGCCUUCCAUGAAAUUCAAGAUUGCAAAAUCAUUGAAUUCCAAACGGGUCCAUUUUCUGCUGGGUGCGAUUGGUAGUUGGUCUGUAUGAUGACAGCUAAAGGAAAAAAUGCAAUUAUUCAAAAUUAUGAGGAAAUCCAGGCACUGUGGCUCAUGCCCGUAAUCCCAGCUACUCUGGUGGCUGAGGCAGGAGAAUUGCUUGAGGCCAGAAGUUCAAGACUAGCCUGGCCAACAUAGGAGACCCUGUCUCUAAAUAAAAAUAAAUUUAAAAAUAAAAAAUAAAAUAAUGAAGGAAAAAAUGGUUGGAAAACAAAGGAUGCAGACCAACUCACUUCAUGCCAUGUUCCUUCUUAAGGUGAGAGACAGGUCCUAGAUGAGAAGAAUUUUAUUCACAUAAGACUGACCACUACACUAUAAUAAAAGAGUUAAUUUUUAUGUUCAGUUUUUUAUUCUCUCAGUUGCCAGAGAUGGGGGGAAAUCACAUUAAGUGCUGGCAGCCAGGUUUUGUCAUGAGAACAAGGCAUCGAAGGGCGAAGUCCGUGAAUGAUCUUGGGAAAUGUGUGUCACCCUGACCUUUAGAGACGACUGCAUCCUGAUUGGCUGCCUAUGCCGCCCUCUCCCCGGGAGUCGGGAGGGUUGUAAAUACAGAAGAAAUGGAAAGGCAGGUAAUCAAACAAGGCCGCCGCAGUACGCGGCGCUGGGAAGGGGAAGGGGGGCGCUUCGGGCUUGAAUAGGGUCCUCCGGGUGGGCUGGACCGUAAUCCCCAGUGGAGUGCGCAGGCUUGCGGAAGCACGGGAGGGAGUGCGGAGAGCACAGGAGGGCCCACGUGUGCCCCGUGGGCGUCGUCCGAGUCCCCCCGCCCCCCCCGCCCCACACACCGCAGGACAGAUGAAUCAGGCCCAGAGACGCCAGGCGACUUGAGCAAGGCCACUCAGCUGUCAAGAGCCCGGGUAGAAAUCAGUGCCCUUUCUGCUACACCAUUCUGAACGGCUCCAGCCACCUGCUUGCCUCAAGGAUCCCAGUUUGCUCUGUCUUCCCUUUCUCUUCUUCCUUCUCCUCUUACAAUGUUCAAUAAUAAUUGGCAAUGUACAAAUCAGACUCUCAGGACUUCAGAGGCAAGGACCAGGCUGAAUUUUUCUGAUCCUAGCAAAGGUGGAUUCCUUGAAGAAAGCUGCCUUUCAAUCUAAAGUUCUGAAGGAUUCCAGUGAUUUUGCAACCUGCAGGCUUUGGCUUGGAAGGACUUACAGCCGAUUUCACAAACUUUCAAAGCCUUAAGGAGCAGUGAUGGAGCAUUGGUCAGCAGUUUCGUGAAUGACGCUACAUUCUCUUAUUUUCCAAAUGACCUAACCCCACAGCACAGAAUCUGCUGGAUUUGGUGUCUGUAAAGACUUACCAGCCAGGCACAGUGCCUCAUUCCUGUAAUCCCAGCACUUUGGGAGGCCAAGGAGGGAGGACCACUGGAGGCCUGGAGUUCAAGAGCAGCCUGGGCAAGAUAAUGAGACCCUAUCUCUACAAAAAAAUUAAAAACUAUCCAAGUGUGGUGGUGCAUGCCUGUAGCCCCAGCUACUUCAGAGGCUGAGGCAAGAAGAUUACUUGAACCCGGGAGUUUGAGGCUGCAGUGAGCUAUAAUCACAGCACUGCACUGCAGCCUGGGCCACAGAGUUGAGACCCUAUCUAUCAGGAAGGAAGGAAGGAAGGAAGGAAAGAAGGAAGGAAGGAAGGAGGGAGGGAGGGAAGGAGGGAGGAAGAAAGGAAUGAAGGAAGAGGACUUCCAUCCAAGGAUAGAUUUCCUCAUUUUACGAAGUCCACCUCAUUCCCUUUACCUCUUUCUUGGGCAACCUCCUCUACCCUAGCAUCAAGCAUUUAUCAGAUUCCUAUAAUUUCAUCAAAUGCAGGCACUUAUCAGGUUUACAAAAAAUAGUCUAUCUUGGAGAGCUUCCAAUGUGAUGUUGAGGCAGAGCAACUGUGUUUAAGGGCAACUCAAGACUAGCCCACCUGAAAGGUUCCCACACCCAAACUAACCUGCAGGUACAAAUGAAGUCACAUCAGUUAUGAAUACCCAGGUUUUGAUGACUCACAGCCCCCACCAACAAAACUGCAGGACCUUGAGGGCCUCCCACCCUGCAGUGGGCUCAGGGGCUCACUCCCUUGUGCUAAUAGAGUCUUUCUCUGCAGCUACCUGUGGUCCAGGGCCUGAAAAACCACUUAGAGUCAUCACUUCCCCAUUGCCUGUAAUCCCAGCACCACUUUGGGAGGCCAAGGAGAGAGGAUCCUGAGCAGCUGGGGCAACAGGCAUGCACUACCACACUUGGAUAAUUUUUAAUGAUUUAGUAAAGAGGUGGUCUCGCUAUCUUGCCCAGCCUAUGAAUGCUGCCCUAUUGCUUCAUUGCACCGCUCCUUAAAGAAAGUUUGUGAAAUCAGAUCUGAGUCCUUCCGAGUCAAAGCCUGCAGGUUGCAAAAUCACUGGAAUCCUUCAGAACUUUAGAUUGUGGCCAUAUGAAAGGCAGCUUUCUUCAAGGAGAGGUGGGGUAGCGGAGUAGUCACUUAUGCCUUGGUCUGGCUGGGUGAAUCUGCAUUUUUACACAAACAAUAGGGCAGAGGAAGCAAUCAGAUGUGCAUUUGUUUCAGAUGAGCCGAGGGAUGACUUUGAGUUCUGUCCUUUGUCCUGCACCUGUGAAGAUAAGCUAUCAAUUUACAUUGCCAGAGUGAAAUUCAACAGAACUGUUUUAGUGUAAAGAUCUUGAGGCCCACAAGGAACUUCCUAGUAGGCAAAUUGUGAGGGAGAUAUGAAGAUUUUUAAAAAUCUUUGUAACUGUCUUAUUUAGGAAUAGAAUGAGAGGCAGGUGUGCCUGAUGCAGUUCCCAGCUUGAUUUUUCCCUUUGGCUUAGUGAUUUGGGGGUCCUGAGAUUUAUUUGCCUUUCACAUUGGCAUGAGGAGAAAAAAAUCUAUUGAAUUGUCUUGAGUAGGCAUCCCUCUUCUGGACUUUAAUUUGUGCAGGAGGGGACACUGGUAUUGGUUAUCCCACCCAGCCAAGCUUGGGGUAUAAUUGAUUUUUGGUCUUUGGGUUUCUAAAUCAGUCUUAUGACCUCAUUAAAAAAUGAAUGAGGGCCAGGUGCAGUGGCUCAUGCCUGUAAUCCUAGCACUUUGGGAGGCCAAGAUGGAUGGAUCGUUUGAGGUCAGGAGUUCAAGACCAGCCUGGCCAACAUGGCGAAACCCUGUCUCUACUGAAAAAAUAUAAAAAUUAGCUGGGCAUCAUGGCACAUGCCUGUAAUCCCAGCUACUCAGGAGGCUGAGGCAGGAGAAUCACUUGAACCCAAGAGGUAGAGGCUACAGUGAGCCCAGAUUACGCCGCUGUACUCCAGCCUAGGUGACAGAGCAAGACCUUGCCUCAAAAAGAAAAAACAAAAGACAAAACAAACAAACAAAGAAACAAACUGAAUGAGUCCCCCCAGAACCUCUGGGCAGGUGAAAAAAAAAAUUAGUUUUUAGACCUACAAACUUAUGAAUCAGAUUCUGACCAAAUUCCUGCCUAUGAGGUCCUACAAGCAGUAGGUCAGAGUCUUCCCAAACCCCUCUGAGCCAUAGCCAGCCAUAUGCAUCAAAUGGUUUUCAUGUUUGUUGAAUGAACACAUGGAUGAAUGAAUGAGCAAAUGAAAAAACAGAUUACUGGCUGGUUGGCUAGUUGAAUAGAUGAACAGAAGGAUGAAAAGAACCAUUUGAUAUAAUACUUGUCCCCUGAAAAUCUCAAGCUGAAAUGUGAUCCCCAGUGUUGGCAGUAGGGCCUGGUGGGUGGUGUUUGGGUCAUGGGGACAGACUCCUUAUGAAUGGCUUGGUGGCCUCCCUGUCGUAAUGAGUGAGUUCUUGCUCUAUUUGUUCACACAAGAGCUGGUUGUUUAAAAAUGCCUGGCCAAACAUUGUUGGUGGGAGUGUAAAUUAGUUCAACCAUCGUGGAAGACAGUGUGGUGAUUCCUCAAGGAUCUAGAACUAGAAAUACUAUUUGAUCCAGCAAUCCAAUUACUGGGUAUAUACCCAAAGGAUUAUAAAUCAUUCUGCUAUAAAGACACAUGCACACAUAUGUUUAUUGCAGCACUAUUUACAGUAGCAAAGACUUGGAACCAACCCAAAUGCCCAUCAAUAACAGACUGGAUAAAGAAAAUGUAGCACAUAUACACCAUGGAAUACUAUGCAGCCAUAAAAAAGAAUGAGUUCAUGUCCUUUGCAGGGACAUGGAUGAAGCUGGAAGCCAUCAUUCUCAGCAAACUAACACAGGAACAGAAAACCAAACACUGCAUGUUCUCACUCAUAAAUGGGAGUUGAACAAUGAGAACACAUGGACACAGGGAGGGGAGUUGUGGCCUGUUGUAGGGUGGGGGGCAAGGGGAGGGAGAGCAUUAGGACAAAUACCUAAUGCAUGUGGGCUUAAAACCUAGGUGAUGGGUUGAUAGGUGCAGCAAACCACCAUGGCACAUGUAUACCUAUGUAACAAACCUGCAUGUUCCGCACAUGUAUCCCAGAACUUAAAGUAAAUUAAAAAAAAAUGCCUGGCAGUGUCUCUUGCUCCCUUUCACACCAUGUGGCACACCUGCUCCCCUUCCCCUUCUGCCAUGAGUAAAAACUUCCUGAGGCCUCACUAGAGGCCAAGCAGAUGCUGGAGCCAUGCUUGUACAGUCUGCAGAACUGUGAGCCAAAUAAA